rnacentral:misc_RNA from 1 species
GUACUGUUACUGUUGAUGAGGCAGAUAUAGCUAAAUCAGGUGUUUAUGGUGGAACUUCUUCAGUGCCUGAAUUAAUCUCUAUGCCAAACAAUCCAGAGCAGCCAGUGGGAUCUGUAAAUGCGCCUUUGCUAAAGUUAUGCUGUCCUGGAACUAAAGGUCCUGCACUUUGUGGAGAUGAUGAUCUUUAUGAGGACUUCAAUAUGGAUGAAGUGGAUUUGAAUCUUGAAAACUAUGAAGAACUCUUUGGUGUUACCCUCAAUAAUUCAGAAGAGCUUUUCGAGAAUGGUGGAAUUGAGAGC